rnacentral:rRNA from 1 species
GACGAACGCUGGCGGCGUGCCUAAUACAUGCAAGUAGAACGCUGAAGGAGGAGCUUGCUUCUCUGGAUGAGUUGCGAACGGGUGAGUAACGCGUAGGUAACCUGCCUGGUAGCGGGGGAUAACUAUUGGAAACGAUAGCUAAUACCGCAUAAGAGUAGAUGUUGCAUGACAUUUGCUUAAAAGGUGCACUUGCAUCACUACCAGAUGGACCUGCGUUGUAUUAGCUAGUUGGUGGGGUAACGGCUCACCAAGACGACGAUACAUAGCCGACCUGAGAGGGUGAUCGGCCACACUGGGACUGAGACACGGCCCAGACUCCUACGGGAGGCAGCAGUAGGGAAUCUUCGGCAAUGGACGGAAGUCUGACCGAGCAACGCCGCGUGAGUGAAGAAGGUUUUCGGAUCGUAAAGCUCUGUUGUAAGAGAAGAACGAGUGUGAGAGUGGAAAGUUCACACUGUGACGGUAUCUUACCAGAAAGGGACGGCUAACUACGUGCCAGCAGCCGCGGUAAUACGUAGGUCCCGAGCGUUGUCCGGAUUUAUUGGGCGUAAAGCGAGCGCAGGCGGUUAGAUAAGUCUGAAGUUAAAGGCUGUGGCUUAACCAUAGUAGGCUUUGGAAACUGUUUAACUUGAGUGCAAGAGGGGAGGGUGGAAUUCCAUGUGUAGCGGUGAAAUGCGUAGAUAUAUGGAGGAACACCGGUGGCGAAAGCGGCUCUCUGGCUUGUAACUGACGCUGAGGCUCGAAAGCGUGGGGAGCAAACAAGAUUAGAUACCCUGGUAGUCCACGCUGUAAACGAUGAGUGCUAGGUGUUAGACCCUUUCCGGGGUUUAGUGCCGUAGCUAACGCAUUAAGCACUCCGCCUGGGGAGUACGACCGCAAGGUUGAAACUCAAAGGAAUUGACGGGGGCCCGCACAAGCGGUGGAGCAUGUGGUUUAAUUCGAAGCAACGCGAAGAACCUUACCAGGUCUUGACAUCCCUCUGACCGCUCUAGAGAUAGAGUUUUCCUUCGGGACAGAGGUGACAGGUGGUGCAUGGUUGUCGUCAGCUCGUGUCGUGAGAUGUUGGGUUAAGUCCCGCAACGGGCGCAACCCCUAUUGUUAGUUGCCAUCAUUCAGUUGGGCACUCUAGCGAGACUGCCGGUAAUAAACCGGAGGAAGGUGGGGAUGACGUCAAAUCAUCAUGCCCCUUAUGACCUGGGCUACACACGUGCUACAAUGGCUGGUACAACGAGUCGCAAGCCGGUGACGGCAAGCUAAUCUCUUAAAGCCAGUCUCAGUUCGGAUUGUAGGCUGCAACUCGCCUACAUGAAGUCGGAAUCGCUAGUAAUCGCGGAUCAGCACGCCGCGGUGAAUAUGUUCCCGGGCCU